rnacentral:rRNA from 1 species
CAGUAGGGAGGAAGGUAGUGUAGUUAACACCUGCACAUUUGACGUUACCUACAGAAGAAGCACCGGCUAACUCCGUGCCAGCAGCCGCGGUAAUACGGAGGGUGCGAGCGUUAAUCGGAAUUACUGGGCGUAAAGCGCAUGCAGGCGGCCUGUUAAGUCAGAUGUGAAAGACCCGGGGCGUUAACCUCGGAAUUGCAUUUGUAAACUGGCAGGCUAGAGUCUUGUAGAGGGGGGUAGGAAUUUCAGGUGUAGCGGUGAAAUAGCGUAGAGAUCUGAAGGAAUACCAGUGGCGAAGGCGGCCCCCCUCGGACAAAGACUGACGCUCAGAUGCGAAAGCGUGGGGAGCAAACAGGAUUAGAUACCCUGGUAG